AGCGAACGCUGGCGGCAGGCCUAACACAUGCAAGUCGAACGAACCCUUCGGGGUUAGUGGCGGACGGGUGAGUAACACGUGGGAACGUACCUUUAGGUUCGGAACAACACAGGGAAACUUGUGCUAAUGCCGAAUGUGCCCUUCGGGGAAAGGAUUUAUCGCCUUUAGAGCGGCCCGCGUCUGAUUAGCUUGUUGGUGAGGUAAAGGCUCACCAAGGCUACGAUCAGUAGCUGGUCUGAGAGGAUGAUCAGCCACACUGGGACUGAGACACGGCCCAGACUCCUACGGGAGGCAGCAGUGGGGAAUCUUGCGCAAUGGGCGAAAGCCUGACGCAGCCAUGCCGCGUGAAUGAUGAAGGUCUUAGGAUUGUAAAAUUCUUUCACCGGGGAAGAUAAUGACGGUACCCGGAGAAGAAGCCC
rnacentral:rRNA from 1 species